rnacentral:rRNA from 1 species
UACAGAGACUGCAAGCGUUAUUCGGAUUCACUGGGCGUAAAGGGCGCGUAGGCGGCGCGGGUAGUCAACGGUGAAAGCUUGGGGCUCAACCCCGAGUCGGCCGUCGAUACUCCCGUGCUUGAGCACUGUAGAGGCAGGUGGAAUUCCGGGUGUAGCGGUGGAAUGCGUAGAGAUCCGGAAGAACACCGGUGGCGAAGGCGGCCUGCUGGGCAGUAGCUGACGCUGAGGCGCGACAGCGUGGGGAGCAAACAGG